rnacentral:rRNA from 1 species
GUGAAAUGCUUAGAUAUCACACAGAACACCGAUUGCGAAGGCAGCACACUAAGUCAUUAUUGACGCUGAGGCACGAAAGUGUGGGGAUCAAACAGGAUUAGAUACCCUGGUAGUCCACACUGUAAACGAUGAUAACUCGCUGUCGGCGAUACACAGUCGGUGGCCAAGCGAAAGCAUUAAGUUAUCCACCUGGGGAGUACGACCGCAAGGUUGAAACUCAAAGGAAUUGACGGGGGCCCGCACAAGCGGAGGAACAUGUGGUUUAAUUCGAUGAUACGCGAGGAACCUUACCCGGGCUCGAACGGUGCAUGAAUAUACGAGAGAUUGUAUAGUCCUUCGGGACAUGUAUCGAGGUGCUGCAUGGUUGUCGUCAGCUCGUGCCGUGAGGUGUCGGCUUAAGUGCCAUAACGAGCGCAACCCUUGUCAUUAGUUGCCAUCAGGUCAAGCUGGGGACUUUAAUGAGACUGCCACCGUAAGGUGUGAGGAAGGGGGGGAUGACGUCAAAUCAGCACGGCCCUUAUGUCCGGGGCGACACACGUGUUACAAUGGGAGGUACAGAGGGCAGCUAUCCGGUGACGGAAUGCUAAUCUCCAAAACCUUUCUCAGUUCGGAUUGGAGUCUGCAACUCGACUCCAUGAAGGUGGAUUCGCUAGUAAUCGCGCAUCAGCCAUGGCGCGGUGAAUACGUUCCCGGGCCUUGUACACACCGCCCGUCAAGCCAUGGAAGCUUGGGGUGCCUGAAGUUCGUGACCGCAAGGAGCGACCUAAGGCAAAACAGGUAACUGGGGCUAAGUCGUAACAAGGAACCNAAAGGGCAAUCGUAACNCG